GAUGAACGCUGGCGGCGUGCCUAAAACAUGCAAGUCGAGCGGCAGCAUGACCUUCGGGUUGAUGGCGAGCGGCGGACGGCUGAGUAACGCGUAGGAAUAUACCCCAAAGUGAGGGAUAACUGCCCGAAAGGGUGGCUAAUACCGCAUGUGAUCUUCGGAUUAAAGCUUUAUGCGCUUUGGGAAUAGCCUGCGUUCGAUUAGCUAGUUGGUGAGGUAAAAGCUAACCAAGGCGACGAUCGAUAGCUGGUCUGAGAGGAUGAUCAGCCAGACUGGAACUGAGACACGGUCCAGACUCCUACGGGAGGCAGCAGUUGGGAAUUUUCCACAAUGGGCGAAAGCCUGAUGGAGCAACGCCGCGUGCAGGAUGAAUGCCUUCGGGUUGUAAACUGCUUUUAUGUGAGAAGAAUAUGACGGUAACACAUGAAUAAGGGUCGGCUAACUACGUGCCAGCCGCCGCGGUAA
rnacentral:rRNA from 1 species